GCGACGUAGCAUCUUGCCCGACAGUGGCGCUCCUCAUCGUGGGACCUUAAUGCUGGCAACUGCGGGGUCGCAGUGGAAUAAAGGGGUUUUCAGAAUCAGCAAUAAAAAUCCACCUGCUUCCGGAGCUGGAGCUAAUCCCUUUUGGACAAAGCGGACAACAAAGACAUCCAUCAACCCUGGACAAGAUCUACUUAUUGCUAGUUCAUCUCUGUUUUCUGGCUUGGCCUGUUUAGGUUUUUUUUUAAUGAUAUUUUUUUUUUCUAAUUUCUGGAUUCCUUGCUGCAGCAGUACUUGUUUUUGUUCGAUUAGUUAAUGAAACACUUAUUUUGAAUCUUCAUCUUUCUGGCUCUGGGGUUAUAAUCUGCAACUGGACCUUAAGUAUGAUUUUCCUUCUGUGACAAAUCAAAUUGAGCUAUAAAAAGAUAUGUUAAAAAAUUUCACUGGACCUU